rnacentral:rRNA from 1 species
CCUACGGGAGGCAGCAGUGGGGAAUAUUGCACAAUGGGGGAAACCCUGAUGCAGCAACGCCGCGUGAAGGAAGACGGUUUUCGGAUUGUAAACUUCUGUUCUUAGUGAAGAAUAAUGACGGUAGCUAAAUAAGAAGCCCCGGCUAACUACGUGCCAGCAGCCGCGGUAAUACGUAGGGGGCAAGCGUUAUCCGGAAUUACUGGGUGUAAAGGGAGAGUAGGUGGCAAGGUAAGCGAUAUGUGAAAGCCUUAAGCUUAACUUAAGGAUUGCAUAACGAACUAUCUAGCUAGAGUACAGGAGAGGAAAGCGGAAUUCCUAGUGUAGCGGUGAAAUGCGUAGAUAUUAGGAAGAACACCAGUGGCGAAGGCGGCUUUCUGGACUGAAACUGACGCUGAGGCUCGAAAGCGUGGGGAGCGAACAGGAUUAGAUACCCCUGUAGUC